GACUAACGCUGGCGGCGUGUCUUAGACAUGCAAGUCGAACGGGUUGCUAUUUUGUAGCAAUACAAGAUAGCGCUAGUGGCGAACGGGUGAGUAGUACAAAAGUAAUUUGCCUCAGAGUGGAGCAUAACCCCGAGAAAUCGGGGCUAAUUCUCCAUAUUCUCGGUAGACGCAAGUCUACUGCGGAAAGGCUUCGGUCGCUCUGAGAGAAGCUCUUGGCCUAUCAGUUUGUUGGUGAGAUAACAGCCCACCAAGGCAAUGACGGGUAGGGGGUGUGAGAGCAUGACCCCCCACAUGGGAACUGAGACACGGUCCCAACUCCUACGGGAGGCAGCAGUCUAGAAAUUGGGCAAUGGGCGAAAGCCUGACCCAGCGACGCCGCGUGAGGGAUGAAGUUCUUCGGAAUGUAAACCUCUGUUGAGGGGAACGAUAAUGACAGUACCCCUCGAGGAAGCCUCGGCUAACUCCGUG
rnacentral:rRNA from 1 species